ensembl:ncRNA asRNA:CR45376 antisense RNA:CR45376
GUCACAUUUUGCCCACUGAUACCUGACACUUCUCAGGGGUUACGCUAGCUUCAGUCUCACCGAAUCAGGCACUUAACUUCAAAUCCAAAGGAUAGUGCAUUCGCCUGUUUGUAUGGGUUGCAUUUGCAUUUCCAUUUGUUCAAGUUCACGGUCAGUAGAGCAAAAUACACAGAACUAGAAUAACAUGUUCGCCUGACGGCAGCAAAAGCUAAUGCCCAAAGUAAACAUCGCCGGAGGAAUUCCAGCUGCACAUCGAAAAUAAGACGCAAUCCCCAGGUUGUCUAUUUGGUUUUUAGCGUGACUCAGGCGGAUUUAGCAUCCGUAUCUGGUGAAUGCAUCUCCAUCUGCUGUGCACCCACGAACCGCCAUCAGCGCUUUUGGCCAGACCCGAUCUUGGCCCAAAGUGGCACAAGCAUCUUCCAGACUUUCUAGCGGUGCGUCCCGUGGAAAAUGCAAGUUUGCUCAGAUUUCUGAUAAAUGUUUGUGUUUGCCGUCCAAAUUUCCAGCUGGCGCUGGCGAAAGGGGAAAUAGUUGGGCUAAAUGGGUUAGCUCUUUAUCUAAACGGAUUGCGCGGCUUAAAUGGCCAAAGUAGAGCAAAUAUUUAAGGUCAUAUCUCGGUAUAGGGCUGUUUGCUUAGUCUGAUUAAUUAGCAAAUUAGCAAGUGCCAACUGAUAUAGCUCACAGAACGAGAUCCUCCUGUUGUUGUUUUCCGACUCGAAUGUCUGUUCGUUAACCGCAAAUCCGGAGACAAUCCAUCUGAUAUUGAUUUCCCGCCGAGCCACGCAUUCAAUUACAAUUUCAACACUUGCUCUGCGUUGCAAUUCGAACUGGACUCGGUUUAUCUGUAAGUUUAUCUACCACAAAUUCUCACCUGUCACACACAAUUCAGUUGGUAAUCGCCGAAACUGAGAUUCAAACGUUAAAGAUAAACUCGCGCACUAUUAGCCAGCCAGACGAAAAGUCAGCUGAAAUUAGCGUCAAAUCGGGCAUAAACUGUAAAGACUGAUCUGAUCCGCACGCGACAGAUUUGGAACCCAAACUGAGACUGAGCCAAGUUAGCAGACCAAGCUGAGCUGCAAACUGAACUGCGAUCUGAGGACUGCGAAUGGGGAAACGACGCGACUUUAAAAGCCGACAAGCUGCUGCCGACAAGCGAUUUGCGUUUUACGACCACAACACUAAGUAAACGAACCCCUGGCUUCCACUUUUCGCUGAGCCAGCAAUCGUUGAACAAGCGAAUUUUUCAGAACUUUUAAACAACAAAAAUUCCCAAAAUAAAGACUCAAAGUAAUCCGAAACAAGGACAAGGCACGAGCGAAAAUGAGCUGGAAUGAACUUACUUUAAAAUAUAAGUUUCACUAACAAGAUCACUACUUUAGUACUUUAAACAAAUGCUACAAUAAACAUUUUAAUAUGUUCCUCUUUUG